AUUUGGUCUACAGGUGUCCAUCCACCAGGAGCUGCAGCAGCACAAGUUAGAGGUUACAGAGGAUGAGGAGCAGAGGGACAGAGUAGAGGCUCCCAUUGAACCCUGGUGGCAUGUAUGAAUUUCAGAGCACUGAAAUGAGCCCAGUAAAAAAAGUCGGUGUUCACAUUAAUCUGGGACACAACAGAAGGAAGAAGUUGCUAUGGUUGCAUGGAGAUGGCAGCGCAAUCUGGAC